rnacentral:rRNA from 1 species
AUUGAACGCUGGCGGCAGGCCUAACACAUGCAAGUCGAACGAGUGGCGGACGGGUGAGUAAUGACUGGGAAACUGCCUGAUGGAGGGGGAUAACUACUGGAAACGGUAGCUAAUAACGCAUACCAUCAGAUGUGCCAAGAUGGGAUUAGCUAGUUGGUGGGGUAACGGCGCACCAAGGCGACGAUCCCUAGCUGGUCUGAGAGGAUGACCAGCCACACUGUAACGGAGACACGUUCCAGACUCCUACGCGAGGAAGCAGUGGGGAAUAUUGCACAAUGGGCGCAAUCCUGAGGCACCCAUGCCGCGUGUAUUAAUAAGGCCUUCGGGUUGUAAAGUACUUUCAGCGGGGAGGCGUUACCCGCAGAAGAAGCACCGGCUAACUCCGUGCCAGCAGCCGCGGUAAUAC